AUGUGAUCAAACUCAAUUGUAACCAAGGCAAGAGACACCAAUUGUGUGGUGGUCCUUGAGGGAACUUAGUGUUUCGUUUGAUUGAGAAGAGAAGCUCACUCGGUCUAAUUGACCGUUUGAGAGAGGGAAAGGGUUGAAAGAGAUCCAGUUUUUGUGACCACCUCAACGGGGAUUAGGUUUACAAAAAUCGAACCUCGGUAAAACAAAUCAUCGUGUCUCGCUCUUUAUUCGCUCACGAUUUGUUUUGCGCCCUCUCUAUCGGACUCGUUUCUAUUUCUAACGCUAACCUGGCUUGUAGUUUGUGCUUAAGUUUGUAAAUUUCAGAUUCACCCUAUUCACCCUCUAUAGGCGACUUUCAGGAACCUCGACUCGGAGAUAGGAUAGGACGCACAACAGUUUGGGGUCGAGCUCGGAGACGACGACCCGAGGUGGAGCUCGAGACGCGCCAUGGGAGAGGGAAGAGAGAGCUUUUGCCAGGGAGAUGCACGCCAUAGGGAGCUCGGGCCGGCGGGGAGAGCAGAGGAGCACGGCGCGCCAUGGGUGAGCUGGCCGAGCACCAGGGAGAUGGGGCGCGCGCACCAGAGGAAGAGCUGCGGCCUCCGCGGAAGCACGAACGGAGCGACCGAGCUGGUGCUUUGGCAAGCAGAGGGACGCGCGCUGCAAGGGAGAGAGGAGUGGCUGGGCGUGCACAGGGGAGCUUGGCCGGGCGCGGUGAGCUCCAGGACGCGCGGCACGGCCAUAGAACUGGAGGGCGCGCGACCAUGGAGAUGGGCGAUCGACGAUGGGGCAGAGCCGGGCUGUGGAAGAGCCAUGGCAAGGAAGCUCGGCAAGGUUGAGCGCCACGAGGGAGAAGCAGAGGGAGUACGCGCGGCCACAUGGAAGCUUCACGGCGAGGGUCUCGGCUUGGAGAUGAGAGAGAGGGCGACGCAGCAUGGAUGGGCGCCGAGCUGGAGGGAGAGGAUCCGGACGCAGGGACGCGCAGACCGAGCGACGCGAGAGCGAUGGACCGUGCACACAUGGAGGAGCACUGGCAGAGGAGAAGCUCCGCGUGCAGGGGAUUGGAGCGCGCUGGCGAGGGAAGCAGGAGCCAGAGCACUGAGGGAGAGCGAGUACCAGGGAGGCCAAGCGGCUGGGUGCUAUGGGCGAUUGGCAGAAAGAGACUUGGAACUAGGGAGGACGCCCGUGGGGAAGAAGAUGAAG
rnacentral:misc_RNA from 1 species